AGCGAACGCUGGCGGCAGGCCUAACACAUGCAAGUCGAACGAACUCUUCGGAGUUAGUGGCGGACGGGUGAGUAACACGUGGGAACGUGCCUUUUGGUUCGGAAUAACUCAGGGAAACUUGUGCUAAUACCGAAUGUGCCCUUCGGGGGAAAGAUUUAUCGCCAUUAGAGCGGCCCGCGUCUGAUUAGCUAGUUGGUGAGGUAACGGCUCACCAAGGCGACGAUCAGUAGCUGGUCUGAGAGGAUGACCAGCCACACUGGGACUGAGACACGGCCCAGACUCCUACGGGAGGCAGCAGUGGGGAAUCAUGCGCAAUGGGCGAAAGCCUGACGCAGCCAUGCCGCGUGAAUGAUGAAGGUCUUAGGAUUGUAAAAUUCUUUCACCGGGGACGAUAAUGACGGUACCCGGAGAAGAAGCCCCGGCUAACUUCGUG
rnacentral:rRNA from 1 species